UACGUAGGGGGCAAGCGUUGUCCGGAAUCAUUGGGCGUAAAGAGCGCGUAGGCGGCCCUGUAAGUCCGCUGUGAAAGUCAAGGGCUCAACCCUUGAAUGCCGGUGGAUACUGCGGGGCUAGAGUGCAGAAGGGGCAACUGGAAUUCUCGGUGUAGCGGUGAAAUGCGUAGAUAUCGAGAGGAACACCUGCGGCGAAGGCGGGUUGCUGGGCUGACACUGACGCUGAUGCGCGAAAGCUAGGGGAGCGAACGGG
rnacentral:rRNA from 1 species